AGUUUUUAAAAUCUGGGGUUUAUAGGUUGCAUAGGGAAGUCACAGAUGACAUAGAACAGACUGUGUUUAUGAAAACUAAAUAAAAUAUAAAGUAGAAGAAAUUUCAAGUCUCAUAGUGGACAGCAUGAGUUCCAGAUCCAAAUAAUCCUGGAAAAAUUAAGGAAUGGUUUCAAAUAAAUACAAUUCCUUCCACCUAAUACAGUAAGUGUAAGGUUCAACACUUUGGUGGGAAGAAUAAAAUUCCUUCCUUCAACUUUCCUUGCCCUGAAACUGCACUUACCAAAAGCUGAAGACCCGAGGUCUUUCUUUGUAAAGGCUUUUGCUGAGAGUUGCCAAAUUCAGUGGACUUUGAGGCCUAAAACAUUAAUCCAUAUCAGAAAAAUAAAUAAAUAAAUAAAUAAAUAAUAAAUAAAUAAAUAAAUAAAUAGAAUAAAAAUGGGGAAGUGUGUCUGGCCCAAACAGUCCCCAGAAAUCCCCUGCAAGUGUGCCAAAACUGAGCAAACGACUGCACUAAUAAGUUGCCUGUAAAAGGAAUAAACAUUCUCCUGGUGAUUAAUUUACUCGAAUUACUGUUUUCCCUUUCCCUUCCAGUCUGCACUUUCUCCUGCUAGCCUCUAAACAAUCAUCCUUCCUCUAGCAGAACAGUAUUCCUAAGAAACAUAUGUGCAUUUAACUGAGCUCCUCUCUUUGCAGACCACAUCUACAGCAGUGGUCUGGGAUCUGGGAAAGCAGGACUCUUCCUUUCAAAAGUCCCUAGGUCUCUUGAAAAGGUAAUAACUAAUGGAGGGAUCAGGAACCAAAAGAACCGGGGAAGGAUUUGGAAAUAUCUUCAAAUGAAUUAGGAAUCUCUCAGCUGAGUGCAGAACAAAGGAGGAAAAGGCUUCGCGCACUGCAGCUCACUGUGAGGGAGGUUGAAAGAGGACCUGGGUGAACCUCCUGCUUUGAGAGCCUCAGAUCAAACAGAGCAGUGAGAAUACCAUCACUAGCUGUUUGAAGAGGAAAAAAAAUGUAUAAAAAAUAAUACAUAAAAAAAAAAAAAAGAUUUAGCCUUCACAUUUGCAUAGACCAUAAAUAAUUAAUCAAGGAAAAGAAAAGAAAAGUUCACUAAGUAUUCUCUUUCCCCACACGGGGAGGAAAUCUGUCGGAGGUGUCUGGUAUUGAUCAAGAUGCAUCAGCAGAGCUGCAGGCGAUGCCCCUGGGACCCAACAUUUUGGGGAUAGGGUGGAUUUGCUGGGACACCCAGCUGCUGUGCACAGAGACCUUCAUGAGUGGGGCCCGAGGAGGUCACAGCAGCGGUCAGGAGCUUGGAGCAUGCACACAGGGAGAGGCUGUGGGAGCUGGGUACUUCCAGGCUGGAGAAAAGAGGGUCUGAACAAGACCCUGAGCAACCUGAGCUGGCCUUGAGGCUGUCCCAUGGUUAAACAGGGUCUGAAAUAGAGACCCACAACCUCGUUUACACCUCAAGCCCACAAUUCUUUGGAAAAUGGAGUGCAGGCAUCUAUCUCUUCCCUUUAGGAGAGCCUUUUUCUGAAGGCUGCCAUCUGUGUUGAGCUGAACUCCUCUGAGGCUCCAGCGCAAAAAGCCAUUUUUUGCACGAACGCCGAGUGCAGAGCUUUGCAGCAGUCAUUUUGUUCCAGAGAGAAGCAACAGGAGGGCGUGCUUAGAGACUCCAAAAAGCUUUGGAAGAAUCAGCUCCUGUCAAGCUACAGAGUGGCCAUAUCACACUCCUCCGGCGGCCUCAGAGUUGGCCGGGCACAUUUCUGGAAGAUACUGCACCGAGAAAUGCUGGCUGCUGUCCAGAAUAUUCAAAACGUCCAUAAUAAAAUGUAAAUAUGCUCU